ensembl:rRNA 5S_rRNA 5S ribosomal RNA
AGCCACAGCCAUAUCACCCUGCAGCCCAAGACUGGUUGCCCACUGAAGCUAAGUAGGGUUGAGCCUGGUCAGUACCUGGAUGGGAGACCUCCUGGGAAAACUAGGAUGUUGUUGGAA